rnacentral:rRNA from 1 species
AUGGAAAAGAAAGAUGAUAAACCUAGACUUAUUAGAUGGGUUCUCUUGCUUCAAGAAUUUGAUUUGCAUAUUAUUGAUAGAAAGGGAGCUGAGAACCCCAUUGCAGACAACUUGUCUAGGUUAGAGAAUGUUCUUGAUGAGCCAAUACCUAUUGAUGAUAACUUUCCUGAUGAACAACUAGCUGUCAUAAAUGCUUCUUGUACUGCCCCAUGGUAUGCUGAUUAUGCUAAUUAUAUUGUUGCUAAGUUUAUACCACCUAGUUUCACAUACCAGCAAAAGAAAAAGUUCUUCUAUGAUUUAAGACAUUACUUCUGGGAUGACCCGCAUCUUUAUAAAGAAGGAGUAGAUGGUGUUAUUAGAUGUUGUGUACCUAAGCAUGAACAGGAACAGAUCCUAUGCAAGUUUCACUCCAAAGCUUAUGGAGCACACCAUGCUGGAGACAGAACUGCACAUAAGGUAUUGCAAUCUGGUUUUUAUUGGCCUACUCUCUUCAAGGAUGCCCAUAAGUUUGUUUUGUCUUGUGAUGAAUGUCAAAAAAUUGGUAAUAUAAGUAGACGUCAAGAAAUGCCUAUGAAUUAUUCACUUGUUAUUGAACCAUUCGAUGUUUGGGGCUUUCAUUAUAUGGGACUGUUUCCUUCCUCAAAUGGGUAUACUCAUAUUUUAGUUGUUGUUGAUUACGUUACUAAAUGGGUAGAAGCUAUUCCAACUAGUAGUGCUGAUCAUAACACCUCUAUUAAGAUGCUUAAAGAAGUUAUUUUUCCGAGGUUUGGAGUCCCUAGAUACUUAAUGAAUGAUGGUGGUUCACAUUUUAUUCAUGGUGCUUUUCGUAAAAUGCUUGCUAAGUAUGAUGUUAAUCAUAGAAUUGCAUCUCCAUAUCAUCCACAGUCUAGUGGUCUAGUAGAACUUAGCAAUAGUGAGCCUAAAUUAAUUUUGCAAAAGACUGUUAAUAGAUCUAGAAAGAAUUGGUCCAAGAAACUUGAUGAUGCAUUAUGGGCCUAUAGAACUGCAUAUAAAAAUCCUAUGGGUAUGUCUCCGUAUAAAAUGGUUUAUGGAAAAGCAUGUCACUUACCUCUUGAACUAGAACAUAAGGCAUAUUGGGCCAUUAAAGAGCUCAAUUAUGAUUUCAAACUUGCCGGUGAGAAGAGGCUUUUUGACAUUAGCUCACUUGAUGAAUGGAGAACCCAGGCUUAUGAGAAUGCCAAACUGUUCAAAGAAAAGGUAAAUAGAUGGCAUGAUAAAAGGAUACAAAAACGUGAGUUUAAUGUAGGUGAUUAUGUAUUGUUAUACAACUCUCAUUUAAGAUUUUUUGCAAGCAAACUCCUCUCUAAAUGGGAAGGUCAUUACGUCAUCGAGGAGGUCUAUCGUUCCGGUGCCAUAAAAAUCAACAACUUCGAAGGCACAAAUCCGAGGGUGGUGAACGGUCUGAAUCAAACAUCAUAUCUCAGGCAAUCCCAUAAAUGUUGA